UUAGAUACCCUGGUAGUCCACGCCCUAAACGAUGUCAACUAGUUGUCGGGGAUUCAUUUCCUUGGUAACGCAGCUAACGCGUGAAGUUGACCGCCUGGGGAGUACGGUCGCAAGAUUAAAACUCAAAGGAAUUGACGGGGACCCGCACAAGCGGUGGAUGAUGUGGAUUAAUUCGAUGCAACGCGAAAAACCUUACCUACCCUUGACAUGUCUGGAAUCCUGAUGAAAGUUGGGAGUGCUCGAAAGAGAGCCAGAACACAGGUGCUGCAUGGCUGUCGUCAGCUCGUGUCGUGAGAUGUUGGGUUAAGUCCCGCAACGAGCGCAACCCUUGCCAAUAGUUGCUACGAAAGGGCACUCUAUUGGGACUGCCAGUGACAAACCGGAGGAAGGUGGGGAUGACGUCAAGUCCUCAUGGCCCUUAUGACCAGGGCUACACACGUGCUACAAUGGUGGAUACAAAGGGUUGCUAAGCCGCAAGGUGGAGCCAAUCCCAUAAAGUCCAUCGUAGUCCGGAUCGGAGUCUGCAACUCGACUCCGUGAAGUCGGAAUCGCUAGUAAUCGUAGAUCAGCAUUGCUACGGUGAAUACGUUCCCGGGUCUUGUACACACCGCCCGUCACACCAUGGGAGUUGAUUGCACCAGAAGCACGUAGCCUAACCGCAAGGGGGGCGCGUACCACGGUGUGUUCAAUGACUGGGGUGAAGUCGUAACA
rnacentral:rRNA from 1 species